rnacentral:tRNA from 1 species
CCUGUAGCUCAAUUGGAUAGAGCGUCUGACUACGGAUCAGAAGGUUGGGGGUUCGACUCCCUCCAGGC